CCGUACCGUAAACCGACACAGGUGGGUAGGAUGAGAAUUCUCAGGCGCUUGAGAGAACUCGGGUGAAGGAACUAGGCAACAUGGCACCGUAACUUCGGGAGAAGGUGCACCCUUUUUGGUGGCUCGUGCGAGCUAUAGCUGAAGAGGGUCGCAGUAACCAGGCCGCUGCGACUGUUUAUCAAAAACACAGCACUCUGCAAACACGAAAGUGGACGUAUAGGGUGUGACGCCUGCCCGGUGCUGGAAGG
rnacentral:rRNA from 1 species